rnacentral:rRNA from 1 species
CGGAGGGUGCAAGCGUUAUCCGGAUUCACUGGGUUUAAAGGGUGCGUAGGUGGGCAAGUAAGUCAGUGGUGAAAUCUCCGGGCUUAACCCGGAAACUGCCAUUGAUACUAUUUGUCUUGAAUACUGUGGAGGUCAGCGGAAUAUGUCAUGUAGCGGUGAAAUGCUUAGAUAUGACAUAGAACACCAAUUGCGAAGGCAGCUGGCUACACAAAUAUUGACACUGAGGCACGAAAGCGUGGGGAUCAAACAGGAUUAGAUACCCUGGUAGUCCACGCCCUAAACUAUGGAUACUCGACAUUUGCGAUAAACUGCAAGUGUCUGAGCGAAAGGAUUAAGUAUCCCACCUGGGAAGUACGAUCGCAAGAUUG